ensembl:lncRNA
CGGAGGACAGCUCCUGCCCUUGGCUGCCUGCUCAGCUAACAGCACUGGUCUUGUGACAUCCCGCUCAGAUGGCAGCACAUAUCCGUGUGUUUAAAAAAAUAUGUUAUCUUUACAGCAUUGCUCCAGUAAGAUGACACCCAGAAUACCAGGUACUGAAGAUAAGCAACAGAAGAACUGAAGAUUUGGGGCUGAAUGUGCAUAGAAGUACAUGCAUUCAAGUCCUGGGUUAACAACUUUUCCAAACGUCAUGAGAGCAGCAGUUUGGAGACACAGGACAAAUGCUCCUCCAAAGAGGUGGAGGAAGAGAAGAAAACCCUUCCCAUCUGCACUGAGAGCAUGGAAGCCAAGUUUCUGCCUGGAACGAUCUGAGGGGCUGAUGUACAGUUAUCCAGAAAUACAGCAUUUCAUCAUUUACUUCAAAGGACUACCACGGAAAGAGAGCAAAAGCAACUUACAUUUUCCAGUUCUGUUUUGGACUCAUGGCGUAACACCAGUGAAAUGGGAAAUAGCUAACGACUGCUUGUUCUGUUCUUCUAAAUUUUGCCAUUGUCUGCUCUCCCCAUUUCUCUUUAAGCACUUAUUUUUCUUCCUUCCCCCAUGUUGCAAUUAAUGCUGAAAAACCUACAAGACUAGGGAAGUCUACUUUUUUAUAUAAAAACUACUUUGUUUAGGUCUUAUAAUUCCUAGAAGGAAUUACCCAGGCACUCAAAUUAAAGUCAGGCCCACAUCAUAUCUGCACCCUGAGUUUUAUCUGGCAGUGUUCAAGUAUUUUGAAAGUCAUGGGAAAUGAACAGACCUUGAAAAAAUAUGGAUAUCCCAAAUGUUGAUAUCAUUGCUGUAAACUUUUUCAUUGCUCUGGUAUUUGGAGUACUCUACACUGUUUAAUUUGGGCUAUUAACAUUCCAAAUGAAAGUAGCAAGAACUCCACCAUGAGUUUAUCUUUCUUUGAGUAAUCUUAACAUGCACCUAAGUCUCUGGUUAAGUUUCCAAGAACCCCAUGUCAUGGUUAUAUUUCACAAGCACAUUAUCUACCCUCUCUGCUUUAGCCAUUUUACUUACACUGCCUAAGUGGCCCCCCUGGAAGCACUUACCUCUCUCCAGUGACUAUGUAGGGAGCUUGGUCUUAUAAUUUUUCUCUUUUACAUCAGAGCAAAAUUAGAUCUUAGAGCAGACAAAACCAAAUUAUGCCAAUACGUCCAACAGCAUCAAGUUAGAGUUUUGAUCCUUUAAAUCUUAUUCAUGCAAGUAAAUCAUGGUCAUGGAGUGGAAAAGAAGAGAAGCUGUGUUAUUAAAGGUCACGGGACCAGGGCUUCAGAGUAUCUAUGGCUUUCAAAUUCCCAUGCUCAAGCUCUUCCCCCUGUUGCUAUAUUUCAGCCAAUUUCUAAGCAAUAUUUUCAGCAUAAUAAAAUCCUGAACUUCAAAGCAGGCUCUUUUUUUUUUUUUAACAGAUGUAGCGAAAGCACAGUUACAAAAAUAAACAUCAACUAAUAAUGUAAUAAUGAUGGAAAGGGCAAGAUUCAAUAUAGUUCAAAGAGGUUCAGUUCAGCAUUACCUCUUUGCUACAAACCACGUAUAAAUACAUACACACAUGGAGGCACUAAUAAAAAUUGCUACACAGAAUAUACCCUUAGCUAUCCAGUCCCUCCACUUUAUUGCCUGCUUAUGCAGUAUAUGCAGUAAAGCCUCCUAGCAGUAAUUUAAUAAUUCAGUGAAUACUUACAAUAAAGAUACUGAAGAAUGGGAUUUGAAAGUCUUCUUUCUCAGCACCAACAGUUUCAGCUGACUUCACAUUCAAGCCUGACGCAUCAGAACAGUAGAGCAUAGGGAAAGUCUACAUUUUCUUGACUAUAAGCAAUUACUAGGCUGCUACUAUUGAAAUGCUAGGAUGACAGAACUACUUCAUAAGUGAGAAGCUGCAAAAUGUUGCUGAACAGUAGAAGUCUCGAGCUCAACCACCUGAUAUGCAUUUGAUGAAUGUUUUACUUUCCCUCAGUUUAUUGAAAUUAUCUUUCAACCUUUUUCCCC